ACAGCACCCCUGCCAGCUGUGACCGGGACUGUGCCAAAGGGGAACGUGCUUAAAGAGGGGGAAGAGAAUGGUUAUUGGGUUUUCUGGGGAUUUUUGUUUGUUGUUGCUACCAUUGUUGUUGUUUGUUUGCCUUGUCAUACAUAUUAGUAAAGCACCGUUAUUUCUUUUCCCGUAUCUUUGCCUGAAAACCCCUCAAUUUCAAAGUUAAAAUAAUUUGGAGGGAAGGGGGUCAUAUUUUCCACUCCAAGGGAGGUUCCCACCUUCCUUGGCAGAGACCUGUCUUUCAAACCAAGAUACUGGUGGAGGAUUUUGGUACCCACUGUA